UUAAGCGACUAAGCGUACACGGUGGAUGCCCUGGCAGUCAGAGGCGAUGAAGGGCGUGCUAAUCUGCGAUAAGCGCCGGUAAGGUGAUAUGAACCGUUAUAACCGGCGAUACCCGAAUGGGGAAACCCAGUGUGACUCGUCACACUAUCAUUAACUGAAUCCAUAGGUUAAUGAGGCGAACCGGGGGAACUGAAACAUCUAAGUACCCCGAGGAAAAGAAAUCAACCGAGAUUCCCCCAGUAGCGGCGAGCGAACGGGGAGGAGCCCAGAGCCUGAAUCAGCAUGUGUGUUAGUGGAAGCGUCUGGAAAGUCGCGCGAUACAGGGUGACAGCCCCGUACACAAAAGCGCAUGUGUUGUGAGCUCGAUGAGUAGGGCGGGACACGUGGUAUCCUGUCUGAAUAUGGGGGGACCAUCCUCCAAGGCUAAAUACUCCUGACUGACCGAUAGUGAACCAGUACCGUGAGGGAAAGGCGAAAAGAACCCCGGCGAGGGGAGUGAAAAAGAACCUGAAACCGUGUACGUACAAGCAGUGGGAGCCCCACCACCAAAGCAUUCUCUGGUGUUGAAGGCCCUGCAAAGCAGCAUCGCGGUGGCGGAGCGUCGUUUGCGACGCCCAACACAAAAAACAAGCGGUGAGUGCUUUGGGGUGGGGUGACUGCGUACCUUUUGUAUAAUGGGUCAGCGACUUAUAUUCUGUAGCAAGGUUAACCGAAUAGGGGAGCCGUAGGGAAACCGAGUCUUAACCGGGCGUUAAGUUGCAGGGUAUAGACCCGAAACCCGGUGAUCUAGCCAUGGGCAGGUUGAAGGUUGGGUAACACUAACUGGAGGACCGAACCGACUAAUGUUGAAAAAUUAGCGGAUGACCUGUGGCUGGGGGUGAAAGGCCAAUCAAACCGGGAGAUAGCUGGUUCUCCCCGAAAGCUAUUUAGGUAGCGCCUCGUGAAUUCAUCUCCGGGGGUAGAGCACUGUUUCGGCUAGGGGGCCAUCCCGGCUUACCAACCCGAUGCAAACUGCGAAUACCGGAGAAUGUUAUCACGGGAGACACACGGCGGGUGCUAACGUCCGUCGUGAAGAGGGAAACAACCCAGACCGCCAGCUAAGGUCCCAAAGUCAUGGUUAAGUGGGAAACGAUGUGGGAAGGCCCAGACAGCCAGGAUGUUGGCUUAGAAGCAGCCAUCAUUUAAAGAAAGCGUAAUAGCUCACUGGUCGAGUCGGCCUGCGCGGAAGAUGUAACGGGGCUAAACCAUGCACCGAAGCUGCGGCAGCGACGCUGAUGCGUUGUUGGGUAGGGGAGCGUUCUGUAAGCCUGCGAAGGUGGCCUGUGAGGGUUGCUGGAGGUAUCAGAAGUGCGAAUGCUGACAUAAGUAACGAUAAAGCGGGUGAAAAGCCCGCUCGCCGGAAGACCAAGGGUUCCUGUCCAACGUUAAUCGGGGCAGGGUGAGUCGACCCCUAAGGCGAGGCCGAAAGGCGUAGUCGAUGGGAAACGGGUUAAUAUUCCCGUACUUGGUGUUACUGCGAAGGGGGGACGGAGAAGGCUAUGUUGGCCGGGCGACGGUUGUCCCGGUUUAAGCGUGUAGGUGUGUGUUCCAGGUAAAUCCGGUUCACUUUAACACUGAGGCGUGAUGACGAGGCACUACGGUGCUGAAGCAACAAAUGCCCUGCUUCCAGGAAAAGCCUCUAAGCAUCAGGUAACAUCAAAUCGUACCCCAAACCGACACAGGUGGUCAGGUAGAGAAUACCAAGGCGCUUGAGAGAACUCGGGUGAAGGAACUAGGCAAAAUGGUGCCGUAACUUCGGGAGAAGGCACGCUGACACGUAGGUGAAGUGAUUUACUCAUGGAGCUGAAGUCAGUCGAAGAUACCAGCUGGCUGCAACUGUUUAUUAAAAACACAGCACUGUGCAAACACGAAAGUGGACGUAUACGGUGUGACGCCUGCCCGGUGCCGGAAGGUUAAUUGAUGGGGUCAGCGCAAGCGAAGCUCCUGAUCGAAGCCCCGGUAAACGGCGGCCGUAACUAUAACGGUCCUAAGGUAGCGAAAUUCCUUGUCGGGUAAGUUCCGACCUGCACGAAUGGCGUAAUGAUGGCCAGGCUGUCUCCACCCGAGACUCAGUGAAAUUGAACUCGCUGUGAAGAUGCAGUGUACCCGCGGCAAGACGGAAAGACCCCGUGAACCUUUACUAUAGCUUGACACUGAACAUUGAGCCUUGAUGUGUAGGAUAGGUGGGAGGCUUUGAAGUGUGGACGCCAGUCUGCAUGGAGCCGACCUUGAAAUACCACCCUUUAAUGUUUGAUGUUCUAACGUGGACCCGUUACCCGGGUUGCGGACAGUGUCUGGUGGGUAGUUUGACUGGGGCGGUCUCCUCCUAAAGAGUAACGGAGGAGCACGAAGGUUGGCUAAUCCUGGUCGGACAUCAGGAGGUUAGUGCAAUGGCAUAAGCCAGCUUGACUGCGAGCGUGACGGCGCGAGCAGGUGCGAAAGCAGGUCAUAGUGAUCCGGUGGUUCUGAAUGGAAGGGCCAUCGCUCAACGGAUAAAAGGUACUCCGGGGAUAACAGGCUGAUACCGCCCAAGAGUUCAUAUCGACGGCGGUGUUUGGCACCUCGAUGUCGGCUCAUCACAUCCUGGGGCUGAAGUAGGUCCCAAGGGUAUGGCUGUUCGCCAUUUAAAGUGGUACGCGAGCUGGGUUUAGAACGUCGUGAGACAGUUCGGUCCCUAUCUGCCGUGGGCGCUGGAGAACUGAGGGGGGCUGCUCCUAGUACGAGAGGACCGGAGUGGACGCAUCACUGGUGUUCGGGUUGUCAUGCCAAUGGCACUGCCCGGUAGCUAAAUGCGGAAGAGAUAAGUGCUGAAAGCAUCUAAGCACGAAACUUGCCCCGAGAUGAGUUCUCCCUGAGACUUAGAGUCUCCUGAAGGAACGUUGAAGACGACGACGUUGAUAGGCCGGGUGUGUAAGCGCAGCGAUGCGUUGAGCUAACCGGUACUAAUGAACCGUGAGGCUUAACCUU
rnacentral:rRNA from 1 species